rnacentral:ncRNA from 1 species
UUCUUAUCGAGAGCGGCGGAGGGACUGGCCCGAUGAAGCCCGGCAACCGUCUUGUGCGGAAUCGGCUGCGGUCACGCAGGGUCCGGAGGAGCAAGCUCCGGGCGAGACGCUUCCGCACAAGAUUUGGUGCCAACUCCUGCGGAAGGCGCGCCUUGCGUAUCGCGGGUGUCCGGUCAGGCACGUACGCACGCGAGGCCGUUCCGAGAGAUAAGAA